CAGCAAUGCACGUGUACUCAG
rnacentral:miRNA from 1 species